AAACCCUCUCAACCCCGUCCCUCACCUGCCUCGGACGCCUCUGUGACGGCGGUGACGGAGGGGCUAUCGACGAUGGCGGUGCCGAUGUGAUGUUGCCGCGUGCGGCAGUCACAGAGGGAAUAGCGGGAGGGGGCAAGGAGAGAGAAGCGUCGCAUCGCCUUCUUCCGCUUCGGCUGUGAUUGCUUGUCUUUGUCAGUGACGGUGUUCCCUCAUGAAAGCGAGGCUGUCCGGCUCUCUUGUCGGGCCCUUAGCGGCGCUUUCUUUCCUUUGGGCUUUGACCGGUUUCAGGUUCUUGUCGACCGGCUUUCGCUGUGUGUGCAGAGCGCGUGAGGUAUGAGGGGGGGGCGCGACAACGCCAACGCGAUGAGGCCAACGCCGCAACGUGUGUGUGCGUUUGCAUGGAGAGAAGGGACCGGGUUCGCACGAUAUGAAGCACAGCAUACGACGCAUCCCCCAGUUGUGCGAAAAGAAGAGCUUGAGGAAGGGACCAGGUGCACAUUGGGGUGCUUGCGCUCGCGAGAUAUCGUGUGGCAUACCAUCUGUCCCCUUCUUCUAUCAGGAUUCACUCUCCUCUUGCCCGAACAGUGCGUCUGUGAUUCACCUUCAAUGCGGCUGACUUCUCGUGCAGUGGCGGGCACUGACGUUCGGACUGAGCCGCACGCUCCCCUGCGUCUACCAUAUUCCUUCCCCCUCUCUGCCGCUCAACGGCCUACGCCACACACUCCGAAGCCCCCACGCACGCGUAUGGGUGUGCAUGCGUGCGCGCUUUCAUUUUUGAUUGUGGCGCUGCUCGUGGUGUGCUUUCGACGCACGAAAAGAAAAGGAGACAAGAGGGAGAGGCAACAGUCGGGUUCAUUUAUGUGUGGUGUGUGUGUGUGCUCGCGCGUGCGCGGGAAUCGGAUCCUGCAGGAGGGCACACAGAGACCACAAUGCAGGACUUGACCUGCGUGCGCGUGCGUGUGAGAGAAACGGAGAAAGAGAAGGAGGCACAUAAACGACAAGUUUCACAGCAGGGGGGCGUGACGUGAGGAGCCACCCGACGUGGGUCCCUUUCCUUUUGGUUUCUGCCUUUGCCACAACAUAGAGGUUCUUCCGUGGCGGUGUGUCUUUUUGUUUUUACGCGUGUGUGUGUCCUUUUUGCCUUUUUAUCGGGCGCAUUUUAGAUGGCAUAAACGAAUGUCAUCUCUUCCGUCAUUGCCUGCCUGGCAGCUGUGGACUUUGUGUGUUCUUCUGAGACGCCCUCGUCUCUCACCUUGUGUAGGCUUCCUAUGGCGCCGUCGUCGUUCUGUCACAGGCGCGCGUCUCCCUCACGCGAUUGCACAAGUAGGGGAGCAGUGACAGCGAAAUAUCAUAGAUAAAAGAACAAGUUGCUCAAUGCUCUUCCCCCGCUUCGCCUUGCUCAACUCCCUCCCUCACCCCUCACGUCAGGGUGAUGAUGACAUUCUGUGUGUGGGUUUGUGUCUGUUUGCGUUUUUUUUUGGUGCACGUGCGCGCGGCUGUAUGGAUAUGUGGAGUGUGUGUGUGUGUGUCUUGCGCCACCUCUCCCCUCCUCUCCUGGUGCACACACUGCUUUUCUUGACUCGUGUUCUGUGAUGCAUUGUUGGUGUGUGUGUGUGUGUGUGUGUGACCUCUUUUCUUUUCGUGCCCGUUCGCUGUAUGUUUUCCUUCUUUUGUAUCCUCCUCCUUUUUUGUCUUUGUCUGCCGUUGUCCGUGCGAAUGUGUGCAACACAUGAGCCACGCACCCCAGAUGUAC
rnacentral:misc_RNA from 1 species